GCAAACGUUUGGGAGGUUUUUCCCAGCCCUUCGUUGUCUUAAAGUUUGGGUUUCCUUAGUCGUUGUGUUUGUUUACUCGUCCUUUUUUUGUGAAUGUUUUAUUUGAAAGCAAAAUUAGGAAAGAAAUUAACCUGUGCUAUUUGUGGAAAUGUAUAUGAAGACGGCAGCAGAAAAAUUGGUGUUUUUUCAGUACCAAAGAAUAUGUUUUCUCGGUGGAAAUCGAUCAUACCUGAACUGAAAGAAACAGCGAGACUGUGCGACAUUCAUUUUGAAGAAUCAGAUAUAGUGAAGGGUUUCUAAAACGGGCAGAAUUUUCAUCCCCUACAAAACUGGAGAUUACUUAAGUCAGCUAUUCCAAAAUUUGUCUUGGGUACAUUACAAAUGUACUACUCUCAAUUUACGAUGAAACAACUUAAAGUUUUUAAAACAGUUAAAACAAAUGCAGAAUCCCCAUCUGCUCGUAAACCUUUAAAGCAGCUGUUAAAUGUCACUGGCCAUAACAACCGCUUGCCAACAAAAAGACAAAAUAAUUGUCAUUCUACUGCACAAGCAAAUGCCAGAAAACGCUGCAGGAAAGAAGUAAACAAUAAGCCCAUUGCUGGAGAGAGUAUGGUUCAGGAAAUAAUUUCGUCACAACAGAGUCCACAGAAAGUAUUGAUUGUUUCUUUCAAUGAAUGUGCAAGCCAGGGGCCGUAGUCUGAACUUGGAUUGAGUAUCAAUCCAGAUUGGCGUCCAUUGACUUGACAUGGCCAUCCAGAUUGGCUUGACGCUCAAGCCAAG